AAACUUGAAAGUGAAAACAAACAUAUUUCAGUUUAAACUAAAAAAAUUUAGUUUUUGUUUUCACUUUUAUUACUCAUCCUUCCUAUCCUCCCCUCUCAAUCCCAUCUAACACUCAUUUUCACUUUCCUUUUUCCUCUUUUUUCUCUGUACUCUAGUGCAAAAAAAAAAAAAAAAAAAGAAGAAAAGAAUAAGAAAUGAUUAUCAAACGGAACUUAACUUUUAACUAAUUUUAAUUUAAUUUGAGUGUCAGAUUUUCAGCACCAUUUGAAUAACAUUUUCUCUAAU
rnacentral:lncRNA from 1 species